rnacentral:rRNA from 1 species
GAUGAACGCUGGCGGCGUGCCUAAUACAUGCAAGUCGAGCGAACAGACGAGGAGCUUGCUCCUCUGACGUUAGCGGCGGACGGGUGAAUAACACGUGGAUAACCUACCUAUAAGACUGGGAUAACUUCGGGAAACCGGAGCUAAUACCGGAUAAUAUAUUGAACCGCAUGGUUCAAUAGUGAAAGACGGUUUUGCUGUCACUUAUAGAUGGAUCCGCGCCGCAUUAGCUAGUUGGUAAGGUAACGGCUUACCAAGGCAACGAUGCGUAGCCGACCUGAGAGGGUGAUCGGCCACACUGGAACUGAGACACGGUCCAGACUCCUACGGGAGGCAGCAGUAGGGAAUCUUCCGCAAUGGGCGAAAGCCUGACGGAGCAACGCCGCGUGAGUGAUGAAGGUCUUCGGAUCGUAAAACUCUGUUAUUAGGGAAGAACAUAUGUGUAAGUAACUGUGCACAUCUUGACGGUACCUAAUCAGAAAGCCACGGCUAACUACGUG